rnacentral:lncRNA from 1 species
CCGUCGGCCGGGGAGCUCCUCACGCGCAGUCACCACCACCGGAGAUGUGCAAAAGGCGGCAUGGGUGCUGGCGCCCGGCGGAGGAAACGCACAUAUUUUUGCAGGGUUUGAGUUGGGACGGCAAAACCAGCCGGAAACCGGGAGGGUUUUGUUAGCGGUGGUCGUGCGGGCGGGAGGGCACCGCAGCACUGUGGGGCAGGUCCGGGUUGCGUGACUGAGCCGCUUCGUGCGGCGCGGGCCGAGGGAUGUCCCAGCCAGACGCACUCUGUUCCCAAAGCACGGCUCUAAGCACUGCUUGCAAAGAACGCAUCGGUAAGCUCAGUUCUAGCCAUGCGAUCCUGUGACCUUUCUGAGCAGAAAUUUCACCAAAUUUGUUCCUGUGGUACUAAGUCUCAUAGGGCGUGUGAGGAAAUUUUACCAUCGCAGCAGCUUGUCCUCAGACUUCCUUCUGAAUACUUUAAUCUACAGCGGUUAGCCUGCAACCGUUGUGCUUUAACCACCCUAAGAAGUUACAUACUCCACAGGAAACCAUCUUCUCCCUCUUCGUUAACUGUGGCCUCCUUCAGUAUCCGUUAGUAUCUUAAUGAUUUUAAGACAGUCCUAUCAAUAAUAAGCUGUAAAUUCUGAUGUGAGUUUUGGGCUUGACAGGGACAUAAACCUUCAUUAAAAAAAAAAAUCAGG